rnacentral:sRNA from 1 species
UGACCACUUCUUAUAAGGAAGGAAUGGCCAUACGGACAGCCGGGUCAAAUGCCGA